rnacentral:misc_RNA from 1 species
UCACGGGGCGCAGCAGUGGGGAAUUUUUGACAAUGGGGGAAACUCCUGAUCCAGCCAUCCCGCGUGUGCGAUGAAGGCCUUCGGGGUUGUAAAGCACUUUUGGCAGGAAAGAAACGGCACGGAUAAUACCCUCGCAACUGAUUUGGGUACCUGCAGAAUAAGCACCGCUAACUACGCCAGCAGCCGCGGUAAUACGUAGGGUGCAAGCGUUAAUCGGAAUUACUGGGCGUAAAGCGUGCGCAGGCGGUUCGGAAAGAAAGAUGUGAAAUCCAGAGCUAACUUUGGAACUGCAUUUUUAACUACCGAGCUAGAGUGUGUCAGAGGGAGGUGGAAUUCCGCGUGUGUAGCAGUGAAAUGCGUAGAUAUGCGGAGGAACACUGAUGGCGAAGGCAGCCCCUGAUAACACUGACGCUCAUGCACGAAAGCGUGGGGAGCAAACAGAGCUAGAUACCCCGGUAGU